AUGGACGACCUCCCAGGGGGCGCGGCGGCCUUCGAGCUCGCGGCCAAGUUCUGCUCCGGCGUCAGGUUCGAGCUCAACGCGGUCAACGUCGUCCCGCUAUGCGGCCGAGUGCCUCGGCAUGGCCGGCGAGGGCAGCCUCACGGCCCACGCAGAGGCCUUCUUCGUCCGCGACGUGCUCGGCAACUGGGACGCAACCGUGCGCGAGCUGCAGACGUGCGACAAAGGGCAGCCUCGCGGCGCUCGCCGAAGACCUCCUCGCGCCCCGGUGCAUCGAGGUGUGGAUCCGGUAGCCACCAUCGUCCCUGCGCGCCGCCGGCGUGGACCCGGUCACCACCACCGUCUCCAUCAUGCUGCACGAGCAGCAGGCCGCGGGCAGCGACGAGCACGACGACGACGGCGCCGGUGGCGUGGUGGUGCUCGUGA
rnacentral:rRNA from 1 species